rnacentral:rRNA from 1 species
GACGUAGGGCGCGAGCGUUGUCCGGAUUUAUUGGGCGUAAAGAGCUCGUAGGCGGCUUGUCGCGUCGACUGUGAAAACCCGCGGCUCAACUGCGGGCCUGCAGCCGAUACGGGCAGGCUAGAGUUCGGUAGGGGAGACUGGAAUUCCUGGUGUAGCGGUGAAAUGCGCAGAUAUCAGGAGGAACACCGGUGGCGAAGGCGAUCACCUGGGGAUGUUCUGACGCUGAGGAGCGAAAGCUAGGGGAGCAAACGGG